rnacentral:rRNA from 1 species
GACGUAGGAGGCGAGCGUUAUCCGGAUUCACUGGGCGUAAAGCGCAUGUAGGCGGUUGGAUAAGUCUGUUGUUAAAGCCCCUGGCUCAACUGGGGAGGUCAAUGGAGACUGUUCGACUUGAGGGCAACAGAGGCACAUGGAACUCCCGGUGUAGCGGUGGAAUGCGUAGAGAUCGGGAGGAACCCCUAAAGCGAAGGCGAGCCGGCCUAGACGAUGAUUGACGCUGAGGGACGAUAGCGUGGGGAGCGAACAGG